CUUAAUAUGGUAACAUUUCGUCAUUAAACUAUAAUAUACUAUAUUAUAUACGCUUUAUACGCUUUUUAGAGAAAGAGUUUGUUGCUAAGCAAGACUGUGAAAGUGAAAUAAUUGAAUAACGAUUACACUGUUUUUUUUUUCGAACAAUAAUACACUGAUUGGUAUUUGUUUCGGUUAGACGUUUCUUAUUGUUAUACACACAAUCUUAGAUCGGUGGCAGAGAAAAAAAAUGCACAUUCUAAUAUGGUGAAUAUUUUUCAUUGAUUAAGAUAAUAUGACCGAUUGUAAUUUACAAUUAAAAUUAGGUUUAAAUUAAAUCGUCAAACAAUAUUAAUUUUUUUAUUUUAUAUUCAUAUCUUAUUGAAUUUAGAAGAAGACAUUGAUAAGGAAGCUUUUCUAAAUAUAACUGAGACUGAAGUGUCACGUAUAAUAACAACAAUUGGAGGAAUUCGUUGUUUUCUUGAAAAAAGAAAAUUAUUGAUAGACAAUAUAAAAUUGGUAAAACACAAUUUUAAUUUUUUUUUUAAUUUUAAUAAAUAGAAGUAAAGUGUAUACAAAAAUUAUUACUAUUUUUACAGGAGAAAUCGCGUGCAACCUCAGAUGAUAAUAAACUGGAACAAUUAAAAUCAUGCCAGCAGUUAUCAAGAUCCCUUACAGGAUUACCUCCUAUCUAUAAAGAAAAAGAAGAAAUUUCUAAAGAAAAUUUUGAAAAAGUAGAAUUAUCCUGCAGUGAUUCACAACCUUCGACAUCGUAUGCACAAAAAAUGUUCUUGAAGAUUCAUUAAACUGUUCAUCAAGUAUCGAAGAUGCAUCAAGUUUCGAAGAUGAUAAUUUUAAUUUAAGAGAAUGUAGCAUCAAAAAGAAAGUAUCAAAAAAAGAUGACAACAAUCAAAAUACAAUUUUAUACGUUUUAAAUCAAUCUGCAUCAGUUCAAAAUACGGAUUUGAAAAAAUUGUUACUAAGCUUUAUAGAUGGACAAAUUAUUAUUAAACAUUAUGAGAAGCAUGACAUACUCGAUGAAGCCAAACGUAGAAAAUUAACCGAACUUUUUAUUAAUCAAUUUAUAUUUAAAAAAUCUGAUGAUGAGAUAGAAAUAGUUCGUUUGCUGAAUGCCGAUUUCGACGUUUUAUCACAAAAAAUCAGGGCCUUGUUUCCGAAUGAGCAACAAGCAUUUUAUUAUGUUCCACCAAAAUCUGAAGGACCGUCCCAAAAAGUGUCAAAAGGAAAACUGCGGGAUUUUUAUCGAAAUAAACUCGAUGUAUGUCGACAAAUUGGACUUAUAUUAAAACGAAAAAAAACUGAUGAAAAUAUAGAUGAUUCAAAUAUUGAAUUAUACGUUAAUCCUGAAACUAAACGUGCUUGUAAAACACACCUGCAAUGGUUACGAUAUAAUACAACACCUUGGUCGGCUGUAAAAGAACAUUGGGAUAAAUCUCUGAACUAAGACAAGAUUUUAUAAAGCAACAUACAGGAAACGUUUAUGACAUUUUUAAAGAAUAUCCAGUGAACAGGAAUUUGGUUACGUGCUUCUGGAUAAUGAUUAUAAUGCCUUAAUCGAUAAAAAAUCAAAUAUUUAUAACGAGUGGCCUGAACUAUCUGAAAAAUUCGAAAUAUUACUGCAAAAUCGAAUGAUAAAAGAUAAAACUUUUGUUAAACAACUGGAAGAGAUUCAAUUAUACGAAAAAGGAAAUGAAUGUAGAAAUGCGGCACUGCUUUCUUUAAUACCAGUGCUGUGUCCUUCCAAUGUGCGACUAAAGAUAUCAGGAAGAAAGAAGACAUGGCGACCUACUAUAGCAGAAUCAAUAGAUGCUUUUAUUUGUCAUAUUAAAGUACCAGGAGAUUUGGAAAUAGUAAAACGUCGAAGACGAGAGAACGCCAAUAAAUUAAAAGAAACUCUACAGCCGUACAUAAUUGCAAUAGGAUCACAACUCACCGCAAUUGAAGCAUUUUAUAUCAUCAUUGAUGAUAUAAUGUAUAAAAUGGAAAAUGUCUUAAAGGCUGUUGACAUUUUGUACAAGAUUUUUCAAGUUCUGAAUGUCAAAUAUCCACCUGCCUGCGAACAGAUUUUGUUUUUUAUACAAAAAUAUAUUUAUGAACGAACAACAAAAUGGGAUAAAUAUAGUAAGUCUGUAAUGACUCUGAUCGAUAAUUUGAAUAGACUUUAAUCCAAUAUGUGACUUUAUCGAACAUAUAUUUAAGACAGUUGUGUUUGAGUAAAAUUCUAUAUUUUAUAUUUCAUUUUAUAUAUAUUUUGACUGAUUAAUUAUAAAAAUAUAGUUUUAUAUAUCAUUAAGCGUAUAAAAUAGUGUUAAUAUGCACAUUAGAGUUGUUUCCAUGCUUGAAUUUUGAAAUUUGAAAUAUUUUAUGUUAUUUUUCUUUACGCUACUUAUAAAAAUAUCUUGCGAUUGUGAUUCUAUCAUUCAAGAUGUUCCGUUGCCAUUUAUGUGAGACAAAGUUCAAAGAUAUUAAUCCGUUUAUCCGUCAUUUUUCUUUAUUUCACACAUUUGAAUUAUGUGAUCGUUACGUAUGUAUGCAAAAUUACUGUUAUCGUAUUUUUCAAAAUAUAAAUGUUUUUAAAAAUCAUUUAAUUACUGAUCAUUCGAAAGAUAAUAAAAAAUCUUCGAAUAUAAAAAGUUCUGCUGUUGAUAUAUCAGCCACAAAUGAUAACAGAGAUUUUGAUAUUCUUACUUCCGAUUUGUUUGUGAGUCAAGAAGAAUUUACUUAUAAUUUUGACAACACUGAGCAGACUUUUGUCGACUUAAAAAAAGAAUUACAACACGAAGCUGCAAAAUUUGCAGCUAGCUUUUAUAAUGAAUUGUCAAUGAAUAGAAUGCAUGUACAAGAAAUUGUUGAUUCUACACGUAUGUUUGUCAAUAAAAUAAUAUUUUCAUAUCUUAAACCAAAUAUUCUAGAUUUGAUCACAAACGAUAGUGUAAUCCAGAAUAAAAUUGAGCAAAUUUUUAACUUAUUUGAAAAUCCAUUUGAAUCACUUGAUACAGAAUUCAAACGAUUUAAAUAUUUUAAAGAACAAGAUACCUUAAUAGAACCAGAAUCGUAUAUAAUUGGACAGCAAAAUAUCGGGAAAAAAAUUGGUUCAAAUUACACAAUUGUACCUACCAAUGUAACCGGUCAAUAUAUAUCUGUAAAACCAGUAAUAUAAAAAUUAUUUGCUCUUCCUGGUUUCUUACAACAAAUUUUAAAUUAUAUGCGAAACUUAUCAAUGGAAUCAAAUGGUAUCUCAAAUAUAAUUCAGGCUCAAUUAUUUAAAAAAUUACAAGAAAAGUAUCCGAAUAGGAUAAUUAUUCCUCUUAUAUUUUAUUACAAUGAAUUUGAAGUAAAUGAUCCACUUGGCUCACGAACUGGUACUCAUAAAAUUGGUGCUGUAUAUUACUCUUUGCCAUGUAUAUCUCCACAUGCUCAAUCUCAUCUUCUUAAUAUACAGAUUGCAUUACUAUUUAACAGUAGUGAUCGAAAAGAAUUUGGAAAUCGAAAGAUUUUUCUACCACUUAUUAAAGAACUGAAAUUUUUACAUACACAUCCAGUUUACACGACAAAGGAUAACAUUGAUGUUUAUGUAAAUUGUUCUUUAUUUGUAGCAGAUAAUCUUGGUCGUCACGAAAUAGGUGGGUUCGUUCAAUCUUUUUCGGCCAAUAGCCCAUGUUCAGUAUGUAAAAUAUCUCGUAACGAAUUACUGAGUGCAACUUAUGAAAAAUCUGAACUUUUGCGUAAUAUAGAAAAUUACAAACUUGAUGUUGAAAAUAAUGAUGUUACUACAACUGGAAUAAAUGAAGAAUGAAAUAGAAGAUAAUUAUUUAAUGAAAUAGAAGAUUUUCAUAUUUUGGAGAACAGUGCUCUUGAUAUCAUGCAUGAUAUUUAUGAAGGAGUUUGCGAGUACGAUCUGUCUCAAAUUAUAUUGCAGUAUAUUACAAAUUUAAAACUUUUUACAUUUCAAGAUCUAAAUGAUCGUAUUGGAGCUUUUGACUUUGGCGUAAGUGAAUUGAGCAAUCGAAUUCCUUUUUUAAAAAAAGAAAAAUUAAAUAAGUAUUGUUUAGGUUUUUUUUUUUUCAGCAACUCAAGUAAUGCGUUUUACGAAAUAUUUUGGUCUCAUUAUUGGCGAUCUUGUACCUCUAAAUGAUUCUCAUUGGGAAUUAUACCUUACUCUAAGAGCGAUAAUUGAUAUUUUAAACGCUAGAUCUUUUUCAUUGCAAGAAGUUAAAUAUUUGCAAUGUUUGGUAACGGAACAUCAUGAAAUUUACAUUAGAUUAUUUGGAAACACUUUAAAAACAAAACAUCAUAAUAUGUUGCACAACUUAUGCUUCGUGUAGGACCUUUAGUGAAUCUUUGGUGUAUGCGUUUCGAAGCGAAACAUAAAGAGUCAAAGAUAGAAUCACAUAUUAUAAUUAGUAGAAAAAAUUUGCCAUUUACUCUUACAUUGAAACACCUGUUAAAAUUGAAUUAUAGAUUACUUAAUGAAAUUUCAUUAACUGAUGAAAUGUCACUCGGGCCAAGUGUUUCUACAGAUUCUGCAUAUUCUCACCCUCAUUUUGAUUUGUUCAAAGAAUAUUUACCAAAAACUUAUACAAUUGUUUCAUGGAUUAAAAUUCAAAGCAUUUUAUUUAAACCACGAUUUGUAUUAAAUUUAAGUGUAACGGAUGUGUUACCCGUUUAUGGUAUUAUACAUUUUAUUUGCUUAAAUGAAGCAAGAAAACCAUUUUUUAUUUUGCAAAUUUUAGAAACACUUAGUUUUUCGAGACAUUUGCACGCUUAUCGCGUUUCAUUUACGACAAAAUGGAAAACUUUAAAAUGUAAUUGUAAGUCAGUUAAUAAGUACAACGUUACUUCGUUAGUAAAAUCAAUUGAUGGCGAUUAUUUUGUAAUACAAGAAUAAAAUUCUCUACCAUAAAUAUGGUUGUCAUUAAUAUAUUUUUAUUUAAGGCAAAAAAAACAUUUUGGUUGUAAUAACUAAAUAAAAGGAACCAAAUUUUUUGGUUCAAG